rnacentral:rRNA from 1 species
AUUGAACGCUGGCGGCAUGAUUAACACAUGCAAGUCGAACGGUAACAGGCCGCAAGGUGCUGACGAGUGGCGAACGGGGGAGUAAGGCAUCGGAACGUGCCCAGUCGUGGGGGAUAACGACUCGAAAGAGGAGCUAAUACCGCAUACGAGCUAAGGAUGAAAGCGGGGGACCGUAAGGCCUCGCGCGAGUGGAGCGGCCGAUGUCAGAUUAGCUAGUUGGUGGGGUAAAGGCUCACCAAGCCAACGAUCUGUAGCUGGUCUGAGAGGACGACCAGCCACACUGGAACUGCGACACGGCCCAGACUCCUACGGGAGGCAGCAGUGGGGAGUUUUGGGCAAAGGGCGCAAGCCUGAUCCAGCAAUGCCGCGUGCAGGAAGAAGGCCUUCGGGUUGUAAACUGCUUUUGUUCGGAACGAACCGGCUCUGGUUAAUCCCCGGGGCUAAUGACGGUACCGUAAGAAUAAGCCCCGGCUAACUACGUG